AAAUGAUUAGCUGUAAUAAAUAGCUACCUUUAAUUACUGUUUUUUAUACAUAUAUGCGAGUUGUAAUUCUGGAUGAUCCACCUGGAGCUUUAAAUUAAUUUUAUUUAUUUUCCUUUAGUGCUAUCAGGAGGAAAUGAAAACAGCUAAUGUAGUUGUCACUAAAAAUCGUCAAAUGACGGUAGAUCGCCAGAAAUUUGGAGAAUAUGCGCAAACGCACAGCAAUAACAAUAUUGGAAGAGCUAUGAAAGAAUGUUACGAUUCCACUACUGCUACCGACGAUAUGUACAAAGAGGCUGCCAGAGCAAGCCAGUGCGUCUUUGAAAAAGUUAAAGCGACAUGCAGAAACUGAAGACAGAGUUCUGAGAGGAAGUUCCUGUAUUCAGUGCCUUGAUACUACUUUUCUAUUAUUCAGGAAAUAAAACGAUAUAUAUUACGGUCGCUAA